GAUGAACGCUGGCGGCGUGCCUAAUACAUGCAAGUCGAACGAGGUGCUUUUGUAGCAAUACGAGAGUAUCCUAGUGGCGAACGGGUGAGUAACGCGUUGGUGACCUGCCCCAAAGUGUGGGAUAACAGUCCGAAAGGAUUGCUAAUACCGCAUGUGGUCGUUGGAUUUAGAAACCGAUGACUAAAGCAGUAAUGCGCUUUGGGAGGGACCUGCGUCCCAUCAGCUAGUUGGUGAGGUAACGGCCCACCAAGGCUACGACGGGUAGGGGGCCUGAGAGGGUGGCCCCCCACAAUGGAACUGAAACACGGUCCAUACACCUACGGGUGGCAG
rnacentral:rRNA from 1 species